rnacentral:rRNA from 1 species
UACUAUGUCUAACCAUAAACCUAGACAAUAAUUUACCAUAUUGUCCGCCAGAGUACUACAAGCGCUAGCUUAAAACCCAAAGGACUUGGCGGUGCCUCAUACCCACCUAGAGGAGCCUGUUCUAUAAUCGAUAAUCCCCGUUUAACCUCACCAUCUCUUGCCACCACCGCUUAUAUACCGCCGUCGUCAGCUUACCCUAUAAAGGGUAAAAAGUAGGCACAAAGAACUAAUACUUCCAUACGUCAGGUCAAGGUGUAGCGAAUGAGAUGGAAAGAAAUGGGCUACAUUUUUUCAACCAAAAAACUACGAAUAGUAAACUGAAAAAUUACUUAAAGGUGGAUUUAGCAGUAAGAGAAGAUUAGAAUACUUCCCUGAAACAGGCUCUGAGGCGCGCACACACCGCCCGUCACUCUCCUCAAAUACCUGUAUAUAUUUACAUAUCCAUAAAAAGAAAUACUAAACAAGAGGAGGCAAGUCGUAA